GGGUCCCUCUCCGGCGCAGCUCCGAGCCGCUGCGCUCCCCCGCUGGCCUCUGCGGGCGUGUUCGCUUCGGAGCUCGGGAGCCUGGGAGACGUCCGCUGUGCUCGCGGCGCCGCUCCAACUACUUCGAGCCCGACCGGUCCGAAGCCUGCGAGUUUGAGGACUCCCUUCUGGGAGAAAAGGCCUGAGUCAGGCUGAGCGCUGGAGGUGGAAGAUGCUCCGCGUGCCCGAGUGAUCGCCUCUCUGCAUAACACUCAAACCCUAAUGGCAACAGCAUGUAUCUCACUGGGUGGAGGCCCAGAGAGCAAAACCAAGGAUGAAAGAGGGCGAGGGGGGAAGAAGGAGUGCAGCUCGCCUGGAGAGAAGUCGUCUCCCCUGAGCUGGGGAACUGGAAAGCCGUCUGCAGCCAUGACAGGACCAGGGUUUCGGAAGGAUCUGGAGCAACUGGGCACCUCGUUUUUACAAAGAUUUUUGCCAUAGGGCGAGUAGGUUCGCUGAAAAAAGACACACAGGAAGAUACAAGGAGAGAGGGAAAGCGAGAAAGCACCUUCCCAAAGGAGAGGCCAUGCUGCAGUCCCUUCUCCAUUCUCUUGUCGGGAUUUUGGACAGCAAAAACAGAGGUUUCAAGACUGAAAAGCAGAUCACGCCUAAGAACAUGGCAACGUCCAGUCCAGAAGGCACCUGUGACCGUCUGCGUGGAGACAGGCACAGGAAGUCCUAUGGUGAGGAGUCUGCAGAGGAGGAGACCAAGGCACAGACCCUGACUGUCCACGGCCACACCUGGCAGGGUGGGGUGUGACCCUGGGCACCUGUGUGGCCUUUCAGUAAGUAGCUCACGGUGGACGUUCGAGCAAACACGUCACCACUGGGUGCUGUGGGAUGUGAGGACUGAGGCUCUCUGUGGGCUGACUCUGCCAUGUAGCUGGAGCAGUUGGGUGUGCUGGGAGUCAAACUUGGAUCUCCCCCGGCCUCAGCUAGCCGAGGAGCAGCAUCAACUGGCAUGUGCCACGAAGCUGGGCCGACGAGGCUGGGCGAAGGUGGGGCAGAGGACUCUGUGGGCAGUCCCACGCAGGAGCUGCCCUGGGAGCACGUCUCUGUCACGACCAGAGACCUGCCUGAGGUGCUGGGUGCACGCUCCCGUGACCCAGGACUCUGCUGGCUCUGUCUCUGUCUUGCUCACGGAAGAAAGAAACCACCUGAAGAAGGGACUCGGACAGCAAUGGGGAUGCAGGGACGAGGAGGAGGCCGACCGGAGCGAGGAUAUUGCCUCUCGGCAGCACGUUACCUGUCGGGCCUUAGUGUUGUCACCUGCUAAAGCACACGAGUGUCAGACUCACCACCGUGCCGCUGAUCAAGGCCGAUGAUGGCAGCGUGUGACGGUGCCUUGCACGCGAGGUGACGAUAUGAAGAUAAGCCACCAUUGCCGUCUUCCUAGCCAGGUUCUGGCUGGGUGUGGGGACAAGUCACUGCAAGGGAGAGAGAGGACAUGGGGGAGGGGACAGCGCAGUCUCAGGCAUUCACCAAAGGGACUUGACUCAGAGCUCGAAGCUCCUCCUGGCCAGGAGUCUCGCUGCCCCGCCUCUGCCCGUCCCACCCAGUGAGGAAGUUUGGGGGCUACUUUAGAUGGCCCCUCUUCUAGAGUUCAGGGUUCCAGCCUAGGAAACAAGGGGACAGUGUUAGAGAGCCCUGGGGACCAGCUGGUGGUGUGGUGGUUAAGGCAUUGGAUCCCACAUUGCCAACUACACACCUGUUUGAGUCCAAAACCUGGUGGCUUAAAAAAAUGCCGGGUGCAUAUGCACGGGUGCCCCACCUCCCAAAGCAGAGUGGGUGAGAAGGGGCCGUGGCGCGGCCGUUUCUACAGGGUGAUUUUCCACUUUCCCUUUCUCCCCUGUGAACACGUGCACCCUAUAGUGAAAAUCUAAACAAAGCAAAACAAAAACCAAAAAGCAAAUUUGGACUUAUCUUCUCCACAUAGGAAAAGUUUAGCAGUCAAUAAAUCAGGACUUAAAUAAAACAAAACCAAAAUAAAUCCCUUCUGAUGGAACCUCC